GAAUAGUGGCUCAGUUGGUAGAGCAUCUGCUUUACAUGCAGAAGUUCUCAGGUUCAAUUCCUGGGAUCACCA